GACGAACGCUGGCGGCGUGCUUAACACAUGCAAGUCGUACGGUAAGGCCCUUCGGGGUACACGAGUGGCGAACGGGUGAGUAACACGUGGGUGAUCUGCCCUGCACUUCGGGAUAAGCCUGGGAAACUGGGUCUAAUACCGGAUAGGACCACUGCCUGCAUGGGUGGUGGUGGAAAGCUUUUGCGGUGUGGGAUGGGCCCGCGGCCUAUCAGCUUGUUGGUGGGGUGAUGGCCUACCAAGGCGACGACGGGUAGCCGGCCUGAGAGGGGGCCCGGCCACACUGGGACUGAGAUACGGCCCAGACUCCUACGGGAGGCAGCAGUGGGGAAUAUUGCACAAUGGGCGCAAGCCUGAUGCAGCGACGCCGCGUGAGGGAUGACGGCCUUCGGGUUGUAAACCUCUUUCAGCACCGACGAAGCGCAAGUGACGGUAGGUGCAGAAGAAGGACCGGCCAACUACGUGCCAGCCGCCGCGGUAA
rnacentral:rRNA from 1 species